CACUACACACAUCAUUCCCAAAGCCUCCGUUUCUUCCAAAGUCCAAACAAACCCAAAUUCCAAACUCUUCCCAAAUCGAUCUUUCUUCUUCCUCUCAAACUUUGUUCUCAACCUUCAACUCCUUCCAUAUAAUUGAAAUUGAUUAUAUCACUACACACAACAUUCCCAAAGGCACCGUUUCCUCCAAAGUCCAAACAAACCCAUAUUCCAGAGUCUUCCCAAAUCGAUGUUUCUUCAAGCAACGAAAUAGGGACAUACGGUUCUAGGGGACCCUAGAUUGUUGAUCAGCGAAAUUGAUUCUGGAGUUAGAGGAACUUGUUCUUGGUUGCCUGUGCCUUCACACCACGGAACUUCUUCCAGGUUGUCUGUGCCUUCAACGUUCGGCAAGUAGCUGGAAGUCCAGAUUUUCCACUUGUGCUUAAUUGGGUGAUGCAUGAGUCUGAAUCUCAACUAAAGAUGGCAUUGAUGGAAGAAAACUUGAAGAUGGUGGAGCAAAGAGCAGUUCAAAGAAUGGGGCAAUGGAUGAAAGAAGCUGGAUUUUCUGGCAUGGACACGUCAUCACAAGCAUUUGUGGAGCAGAUCACACAAGGUACUUCAACUCGGCCACAAAGUAAUUUACCAAUUAUCCCAACUCCAUCUAUGCAGUAUGGAUAUCGCCCGGAAGUGCCCACAACUUUAACAAACUAAUAUGGUGAGUUCUGCCAAUAUAGAUGAUAUGAGAGCAGCUUUUGGUUUUUGUUGUAAACUGCUCUCAACUAAUCUUUAGGAGGGUUAGAUGGUAAAUGUAGAUGGGCUAGAAUAGUGAUGUUCUUGGACAAGGAAUCUGUUGUUGAAGGGGGAAGUCAUAGUGGUCUUCCACCUUCAUCAACAAUUACCUUGUUUUGAAUUCCAAGAACUCUUGCUUUCUGAGUUAACUCUAGAACAAUAUGAAUUGUAGUUUGUAUGAACAAUUAUAUUUUGGAAUGAAGAAUUUUCUUUCCUUUGUAUAUA